rnacentral:tRNA from 1 species
GAGGACAGAGCUCAGUGAUAGACUGCAUGCUUAGCAUGCAUGAGAUCCUGGGUUAAAUCCCCAGUAUCACCA